UUCCCUGGGUGCGCAUGCGCAGAGCGUAAACAGCCGAAGCCUCCCUCAGAGAGGAAGUUGUCUGUUGUGGAGCGACUCUGAAGAGUGACAGGCGUCAGUUGGGAGCACAGCUCAAGGCAAGGGUUCCCUUAAUGGGAUGGAGGCCUCACUUUGAAGUGGUUUUGUGAAGAACUGGCUCUAUUUGGUGGAGAAGGCCUAAGGCCUAAAGCAGAAAGGGUAUGACAGAAAGAUCUGAGGAAAGAGAGAGUGGGCGGGACAGAGGAAUUCAUCCCUAAAUGCAGAGAGGGUACUAGAACUAAAUCCCAACAGAUACCAAGAAUCCACUGCAUCACUCCAGGAUCCUUUGAGAAAUUAAAAUGAGCAGCUUUUCAUUGAAACCAGGAGAGAAGAAAAUAAAACAACAAGCUAUUAUUUGGAAUGGAGAAUGAGCCAUAUAAGUAAAGAACCGUACUAUGUGGCAUCCACACAAGUGCUAUCAACACAAGAGAAGGCUUUGAACCCUCUUCGCUCUGGGCUUCUUACCCCGCUUGGUCUUGGGCUCUCCACCAAGACUCAUUGCUCUCCUCAAGGACCAGCCACGAAGCCACCUUUCAGAAGAGAGAGUUCGAGCUAAAGCAAGCAAGGCAAAAAAAGGUUAAGGUGGUACCAAACUGCAUUCAUUCUGCUUCCUGUAUAGAUAGUUCUGCUUCUCCCUGACUUUCCCAGUCUUCCCAUCUAUGGCCUCUUCAACACUGCCCUAUAAUCCAGAUCAUCAAAGCAUAUUAACCCACAUUAUCUGCUGUGAACUGGAUUAUAUGAGUCAACACUGCCAUAUGGAGUCCCUGAUGGCGCAGCAGGUUAAACCGCUGAGCUGCUGAACUUGCUGACCGAAAGAUUGCUGGUUCGAAUCCGGGAAGCAGGGUGAACUCCCGCUGUCAGCCCCAGCUUCUGCCAACCUAGCAGUUCAAAAACAUGCAAAUGUGAGUAGAUCAAUAGAUACUGCUCCAACGGGAAGGUAACAGAGCUCCAUGCAGUCAUGCCUAUGGCCACAUGACCUUGGAGGUGUCUAUGGACAACGCUGGCUCUUCGGCUUAGAAAUGGGGAUGAGCACCAACCCCCAGAGUCGGUCACGACUAGACUUAAUGUCAGGGGAAAACCUUUACCUUUACCUUACACUGCCAUAUAAUCCAGUUCAAAAAUAAUCUGGAUUUUAUAUGGCAGUGUGGAGCAAAAGGAUAGAAACCUGGAAGCAGAUGCAAAGUCAGCCGACCGGUUUUCUCUUGGGCCAGUUCUGGUGAACCCUCACUCUGGCCCCUUCCACACUGCCAUAUAAAAUACAGAUUAUCUGCUUUGAACUGGAUUAUAUGGCAGGGUAGACUCAUAUUUAAUGAAGUUCAAAGCAGAUCAUGUGGAUUAUCUGGUUCCGUAAUCUGGAUUAUAUUGCAAAGUAGAAGGGACCCCGUCCCUAAGAGUUAUCGGUCCAUGAAGUUCUUCCUUCUUUCAUCUUCUCCUAUUGCUUGAACGUUUUGUACAACAUAGCAGGCUUGGAAAUGAAGAGAAAACAUUUUAAAUAUAACCACAACCAUUUAUUUUUGGUAGAGGGAUCGCAAACCUACAGGCUUCCUCUUUUUUAAGCAGCUACGGGUUGGGAGUCCAUUUCCGUUCUUUGGCUAUUAGGCCCCUUCUACACUGCCACAUAAUCCAGAUUAGGAAAUUGCAUUGAUAACCUAGGAACAAAAAUCAUAGUCCAGGAGGCGUUUCUUUUGACAGAGGGACCGUGAUGGCAAAUCAACUGAGAAUUCCUGAAUAGUAGCAUUGAUCUACUCACAUUUGCAUGGUUGGUAGAAGCUGGGGCUAACAGCGGGAGCUCACCCUGCUCCCCGGAUUUUAACCUUUUGGUCAGCAAAUUCUUUGCAAUAUAAUGCAAUAUACAAUAAAAAGGUAAAGGUUUCCCCUGACGUUAAGUCCAGUUAUGUCCAACUCUGGGGGUCGGUGCUCAUCUCCAUUUCUAAGCCGAAGAGCCAGUGUUGUCAGUAGACACCAUGUGGCCGGCAUGACUGCAUGGAGCACGGUUACCUUCCUGCCGGAGCAGUACCUAUUGAUCUACUCACAUUAGCAUGUUUUUGAACUGCUAGGUUGGCAGAAGCUGGAGCUAACAGCAGGCGCUCACUUUGCUCCCCAGAUUUGAACCUGGGAUUAUCCAACGCAGUUUGCCUUUUAGUAGUCAAUGUUUUUGUGGUCAAUUUUUCAAUACAUUGUGAAGUUUUAGUGCUAAAUUUCAUAAAUACAACUAUUACUACGUAACGUUACCGUGUAUCAAACUGCUUUUUCUGUCGAUUUGUUGUAAAACAUGUUUUUGUGCUUAAUUUGUAAAAUCAUAAUGUAAUUUGAUGUUUAAUAGGCUUUUCCUGAAUCCCUCCUUAUUAUCCAACAUAUUCACUUAUCCAACAUUCUGCCGGCCCGUUUAGCUUGGAUAAGUGAGACUCUACUGUAAUACUAAUCAUAAUAAAAUAUAAUAACAUAUAAUAAUAAUAUUGCAGUAUAGUAAUACUAAUAUAUUGUAAUACGGCUGAUAAUGUAUAAUAAUAUACAGUAGAGUCUCACUUAUCCAAGCUAAACGGGCCGGCAGAAGCUUGGAUAAGCGAAUAUCUUGGAUAAAAAGAGGGAUUAAGGAAAUGCCCAUUAAACAUCAAAUUAGGUUAUGAUUUUACAAAUUAAGCAACAAAACAUCAUGUUAUACAACACAUUUGACAGAAGAACUAGUUCCAUACACAGUAAUGUUACAUUGUAAUUACUGUAUUUACGAAUUUAGCACCAAAAUAUCACGAUAUAUUGAAAACAUUGACUACAAAAAUGGCUUGGAUUAUCCAGAAGCUUGGAUAAGCGAGACUCUACUGCAGGGGUCCCCAAACUAAGGCCCGGGGGCCGGAUGCGGCCCUCCGAGGUCAUUUACCUGGCCCCCGCCCUCAGUUUUAUAAUAUAAUAUAUUGUGUGUGUGUGUGUGUGUGU